rnacentral:tRNA from 1 species
AGGGGGGUCUGUAGAGGUUACGCUUCCGCUUCAUAAGCGGAAGGUCAUGGGUUCGAUUCCCAGCCCCUCCA